rnacentral:rRNA from 1 species
GUCGAACGGAGAUUAUACGCAGAGGCGAUUUCGGUCAAAUCAUGUAAAAUCUUAGUGGCGGACGGGUGAGUAACGCGUGGGUAACCUGCCUUACACUGGGGGAUAACACUUAGAAAUAGGUGCUAAUACCGCAUAAGCGCACGAAGCCGCAUGGAUUUGUGUGAAAAACUCCGGUGGUGUAAGAUGGACCCGCGUCUGAUUAGCUUGUUGGCGGGGUAACGGCCCACCAAGGCGACGAUCAGUAGCCGGCCUGAGAGGGUGGACGGCCACAUUGGGACUGAGACACGGCCCAAACUCCUACGGGAGGCAGCAGUGGGGGAUAUUGGACAAUGGGGGGAACCCUGAUCCAGCGACGCCGCGUGAGUGAAGAAGUAUUUCGGUAUGUAAAGCUCUGUCAGCAGGGAAGAAAGAAAUGACGGUACCUGACCAAGAAGCCCCGGCUAACUACGUGCCAGCAGCCGCGGUAAUACGUAGGGGGCAAGCGUUAUCCGGAAUUACUGGGUGUAAAGGGAGCGUAGACGGUUAAGUAAGUCUGGAGUGAAAGGCCGGGGCCCAACCCCGGGACUGCUCUGGAAACUAUUCAACUUGAGUGCGGGAGAGGUAAGCGGAAUUCCUAGUGUAGCGGUGAAAUGCGUAGAUAU